UACGGAGGGUGCAAGCGUUAUCCGGAUUCACUGAGCUUAAAGGGUGCGUAGGCGGGUAAGUAAGUCCGUGGUGAAAUCUCUGAGCUUAACUCAGAAACUGCCGUGGAUACUAUUUGCCUUGAAUAUUGUGGAGGUGAGCGGAAUAUGUCAUGUAGCGGUGAAAUGCGUAGAUAUUGGGAGGAACACCAGUGGCGAAGGCGGCUCACUGGACCGGUACUGACGCUGAUGCGCGAAAGCGUGGGGAGCAAACGGG
rnacentral:rRNA from 1 species